rnacentral:misc_RNA from 1 species
GAUGAAGAACGUAGUGAAAUGCGAUACUUGGUGUGAAUUGCAGAAUCCCGUGAACCAUCGAGUCUUUGAACGCAAGUUGCGCCCGAAGCCAUUAGGCCGAGGGCACGCCUGCCUGGGCGUCACACGUCGUUGCCCCCCCAUCUACUCCUUCGGGAUUGCGGGGGGCGGAUGAUGGCCUCCCGUGCGCCUCGUCGCGCGGUUGGCAUAAAUGCCAAGUCCUCGGCGACGCACGCCACGACAAUCGGUGGUUGCGAAACCUCGGUUGCCCGUCGUGUGCGGUCGUCGCGCAUCGAGGGCUCGAAAAAAUUGUCGGGCUCCGGCUCGGCUUUCAACGCGACCCCAGGUCAGGCGGGGUUACCCGCUGAAUUUAAGCAUAUCAUAAGCGGAGGA